UACGAAGGGGGCUAGCGUUGCUCGGAAUCACUGGGCGUAAAGGGUGCGUAGGCGGGUCUUUAAGUCAGGGGUGAAAUCCUGGAGCUCAACUCCAGAACUGCCUUUGAUACUGAAGAUCUUGAGUUCGGGAGAGGUGAGUGGAACUGCGAGUGUAGAGGUGAAAUUCGUAGAUAUUCGCAAGAACACCAGUGGCGAAGGCGGCUCACUGGCCCGAUACUGACGCUGAGGCG
rnacentral:rRNA from 1 species